CCUACGGGAGGCUGCAGUGAGGAAUAUUGGUCAAUGGGCGGAAUCCUGAACCAGCCAAGUCGCGUGCAGGAUGACGGCCCUAUGGGUUGUAAACUGCUUUUAUCCGAGAAUAACGCCCCUUACGUGUCGCGGUUUGCGUGUAUCGGAAGAAUAAGGACCGGCUAAUUCCGUGCCAGCAGCCGCGGUAAUACGGAGGUUGCGAGCGUUAUCCGGAUUUAUUGGGUUUAAAGGGUGCGUAGGCGGUUCGUUAAGUCACCGGUAAAAUUUCGGGGCUCAACCCGGCCGAGCCGCGGAAACUGGCAGACUUGAGUCGGCGAGAAGUAGGCGGAAUGCGUGGUGUAGCGGUGAAAUGCAUAGAUAUGGCGAAGAACCCCGAUUGCGAAGGCAGCGUACUGGAGCGAGACUGACGCUGAGGCUCGAAAGCGUGGGGAUCGAACAGGAUUAGAUACCCGAGUAGUC
rnacentral:rRNA from 1 species